GAUGAACGCUAGCUACAGGCUUAACACAUGCAAGUCGAGGGGCAGCAUGGUCUUAGCUUGCUAAGGCCGAUGGCGACCGGCGCACGGGUGAGUAACACGUAUCCAACCUGCCGUCUACUCUUGGACAGCCUUCUGAAAGGAAGAUUAAUACAAGAUGGCAUCAUGAGUCCGCAUGUUCACAUGAUUAAAGGUAUUCCGGUAGACGAUGGGGAUGCGUUCCAUUAGAUAGUAGGCGGGGUAACGGCCCACCUAGUCUUCGAUGGAUAGGGGUUCUGAGAGGAAGGUCCCCCACAUUGGAACUGAGACGCGGUCCAAACUCCUACGGGAGGCAGCAGUGAGGAAUAUUGGUCAAUGGGCGCAGGCCUGAACCAGCCAAGUAGCGUGAAGGAUGACUGCCCUAUGGGUUGUAAACUUCUUUUAUAAAGGAAUAAAGUCGGGUAUGUAUACCCGUUUGCAUGUACUUUAUGAAUAAGGAUCGGCUAACUCCGUG
rnacentral:rRNA from 1 species